AGUGAACGCUGGCGGUAGGCCUAACACAUGCAAGUCGAACGGCAGCACAGUAAGAGCUUGCUCUUACGGGUGGCGAGUGGCGGACGGGUGAGGAAUACAUCGGAAUCUACUUUUUCGUGGGGGAUAACGUAGGGAAACUUACGCUAAUACCGCAUACGACCUACGGGUGAAAGCAGGGGAUCUUCGGACCUUGCGCGAUUGAAUGAGCCGAUGUCGGAUUAGCUAGUUGGCGGGGUAAAGGCCCACCAAGGCGACGAUCCGUAGCUGGUCUGAGAGGAUGUGCAGCGCCACUGGAACUGAGACACGGUCCAGAGUCCUACAGGAGGCACAAGUGGGGAAUAUUGGAGAAUGGGCGCAAGACCGAGCCAGCCCUACAGCGCGGGUGAAGAGGACGUUCGGGUUGUGAAGCCCUUUUGUUGGGAAAGAAAAGCAGCAGGUUAAUACCCCGCUGUUCUGACGGUACCCAAAGAAUAAGCACCGGCUAACUUCGUG
rnacentral:rRNA from 1 species